rnacentral:rRNA from 1 species
AACGUAGGGGACGAGCGUUAUCCGGAUUUACUGGGCGUAAAGCGCCCGUAGGCGGCUCGAUAAGUUGGACGUGAAAGCUCCCGGCUUAACUGGGAGAGGCCGUUCAAAACUGUAGGGCUAGAGUGAGGCAGAGGAGAGCGGAAUUCCCGGUGUAGUGGUGGAAUGCGUAGAUAUCGGGAGGAACACCAGUGGCGAAAGCGGCGCUCUGGGCCUAAACUGACGCUGAGGGGCGAAAGCGUGGGGAGCGAACGGG